AUGCGACAGGCCGAGGCCGGCGAGCUCGACUACGACGGGGGCCAGGGUUUUCUCCGCGCUGGCGCAGAGGAACAGCGGGUCCUUGGCGACGAGGGAGGCGACAUCGGCGGCGGAGACGCCGAGGCCGGCGAGGAAGGCGAGGACGGCGUCGGGCUUGGUGGGGGACUUGAGGUGGGAGAGCUUGGCGGAGGCCUUGAGGGCCUGCGCUCGGGUGAGGCCGCAGGUGGAGACGAGGUAGUCGUCGACGACGAAGCUAGGGUUUGGGGAAACGGCGGGCGCGGCGGCCGCGGAGAGGGGGCGGUGGAGAGGGGGGCCCUGAGAGGUGGCUGGAGAAGAGAGGAGCCGCACGAGGAUGCAGCCACGGAGGCGGAGCAUGGCGGCGCCGGCGGCGGCGGAGAGAUUGAUUCCCUAUGGGGGCGGGUGCGAAUGGGAUGGUGCUUCGGUGGCGGGGAUGCGGCGCCCCGGCGAGACAGGUGA
rnacentral:rRNA from 1 species